rnacentral:rRNA from 1 species
GAGUUUGAUCCUGGCUCAGGAUGAACGCUGGCGGCGUGCUUAACACAUGCAAGUCGAACGAACGACUAUUAACAGAACCUUUCGGGGCGAAGAUGAUAGAAGUUAGUGGCGGACGGGUGCGUAACGCGUGGGUAAUCUGCCUUUGUCAAAGGAAUAACUAUUCGAAAGAAUAGCUAAAACCGUAUAAAAUAUUAAUAGGGCAUCCUAAUAAUAUCAAAACGAUAGUGGACAAAGAUGAGCCCGCGUCUGAUUAGCUAGUUGGUGAGAUAAAAGCCCACCAAGGCAACGAUCAGUAGCCGACCUGAGAGGGUGAACGGCCACAUUGGAACUGAGACACGGUCCAAACUCCUACGGGAGGCAGCAGUGGGGAAUAUUGCACAAUGGGGGGAACCCUGAUGCAGCAACGCCGCGUGAGUGAAGAAGGCAUUCGUGUCGUAAAACUCUGUA